CCUACGGGUGGCAGCAGUGAGGAAUAUUGGUCAAUGGACGAGAGUCUGAACCAGCCAAGUAGCGUGAAGGAUGACUGCCCUAUGGGUUGUAAACUUCUUUUAUAUGGGAAUAAAACGUUCCAAGUGUGGGAUUUUGUAUGUACCAUAUGAAUAAGGAUCGGCUAACUCCGUGCCAGCAGCCGCGGUAAUACGGAGGAUCCGAGCGUUAUCCGGAUUUAUUGGGUUUAAAGGGAGCGUAGGUGGAUUGUUAAGUCAGUUGUGAAAGUUUGCGGCUCAACCGUAAAAUUGCAGUUGAAACUGGCAGUCUUGAGUACAGUAGAGGUGGGCGGAAUUCGUGGUGUAGCGGUGAAAUGCGUAGAUAUCACGAAGAACUCCGAUUGCGAAGGCAGUUCACUGGACUGCAACUGACACUGAGGCUCGAAAGUGUGGGUAUCAAACAGGAUUAGAUACCCUGGUAGUC
rnacentral:rRNA from 1 species